rnacentral:lncRNA from 10 species
CAGAAGGGACUGCCUUCCCCUCAGUGCUCGCCCCUCCCUAGUGAUCACUCAGUGCCCCUGAGCUCAUUCUUUUCAGUAAAUUCUCUCUCUGCGUGGUGAGAAAACAGGCCUGGAGAGGCUCUGCGACCCGCUUAGGACCACAGAACUCGAGAAUUACCUUUUCCAGGGACGGCAGGAAUGCUACGCGUUUAAUGGGACACAGCGCUUCCUGGAGAGAUACAUCUACAACCGGGAGGAGUUCGCGCGCUUCGACAGCGACGUGGGGGAGUUCCGGGCGGUGACGGAGCUGGGGCGGCCUGCUGCGGAGUACUGGAACAGCCAGAAGGACAUCCUGGAGGAGAAGCGGGCAGUGCCGGACAGGAUGUGCAGACACAACUACGAGCUGGGCGGGCCCAUGACCCUGCAGCGCCGAGGCUGGAGUGCUGUGGCACCAUCAUGGCUCACUGCAGCCUCAACCUCCUGGGCUCAAGUGAUCCUCCUGCCUCAGCCUCCCAUGUAGCUAGAACUACAGAUACACGUACCACCAUGUCUGGCUAAUUUAUUUUUCUUUUUAGAGAUGGGUUCUCACUAUGUUGCCCAGGCCGGUCUCAAAACCCUGGGCUCAAGUGAUCCUCAUGCCUCAACCUCCCAAAGUGCUAAGAUUAUAGGCAUGACCACCAUGCCUGGCCUUUUCUGCUUUCUGAGGAGGAAAAAGGUACUGGUGGCAGAGAUCCAAAAGAAAAGUUGCCAGUGGCAGUGUGGAAAUUCACCUGAGAACAACAGGACAAGCUGGGGCACAAAUGCAAAGAUGCAGAGGGAGGCAACACCUGGUCAUCUGUGAGACCUUCAUGGGACCUGAAGACGCAGCACAGAGGAGGAACUUGAAAAAGGACGGGAUUUCUACUACUCAAGCAUGUAGGAGCUCAGGAUAUU